rnacentral:rRNA from 1 species
AGAGUUUGAUCCUGGCUCAGAUUGAACGCUGGCGGCAUGCUUUACACAUGCAAGUCGAACGGCAGCACGGGGGCAACCCUGGUGGCGAGUGGCGAACGGGUGAGUAAUAUAUCGGAACGUACCCGGAAAUGGGGGAUAACGUAGCGAAAGUUACGCUAAUACCGCAUAUGCCCUAAGGGGGAAAGCGGGGGAUUCGCAAGAACCUCGCGUUUUUGGAGCGGCCGAUAUCGGAUUAGCUAGUAGGUGAGGUAAAGGCUCACCUAGGCGACGAUCCGUAGCUGGUCUGAGAGGACGACCAGCCACACUGGAACUGAGACACGGUCCAGACUCCUACGGGAGGCAGCAGUGGGGAAUUUUGGACAAUGGGCGCAAGCCUGAUCCAGCCAUGCCGCGUGAGUGAAGAAGGCCUUCGGGUUGUAAAGCUCUUUCAGCCGGAAAGAAAACGCACGGGUUAAUAACCUGUGUGGAUGACGGUACCGGAAGAAGAAGCACCGGCUAACUACGUG